GACGAACGCUGGCGGCGUGCUUAACACGUGCAAGUCGAACGAUGAUGCCCAGCUUGCUGGGUGGAUUAGUGGCGAACGGGUGAGUAACACGUGAGUAACCUGCCCCUGACUCUGGGAUAAGCGUUGGAAACGACAUCUAAUACUGGAUAUGAUCGCCGGCCGCAUGGUCUGGUGGUGGAAAGAUUUUUUGGUUGGGGAUGGACUCGCGGCCUAUCAGCUUGUUGGUGAGGUAAUGGCUCACCAAGGCGACGACGGGUAGCCGGCCUGAGAGGGUGACCGGCCACACUGGGACUGAGACACGGCGCAGACGCCUACGGGAGGCAGCAGUGGGGAAUAUUGCACAAUGGGCGAAAGCCUGAUGCAGCAACGCCGCGUGAGGGAUGACGGCCUUCGGGUUGUAAACCUCUUUUAGUAGGGAAGAAGCGAAAGUGACGGUACCUGCAGAAAAAGCACCGGCUAACUACGUGCCAGCCGCCGCAGUAA
rnacentral:rRNA from 1 species